AGGACGAACGCUGGCGGCGUGCUUAACACAUGCAAGUCGAGCGGUAAGGCUCCUUCGGGAGUACACGAGCGGCGAACGGGUGAGUAACACGUGAGCAAUCUGCCCUUCACACUGGGAUAACCCCGGGAAACCGGGGCUAAUACCGGAUGCGACCACCGACGGCAUCGUCUGGUGGUGGAAAGUUCCGGCGGUGGGGGAUGAGCUCGCGGCCUAUCAGCUUGUUGGUGGGGUAAUGGCCUACCAAGGCUUCGACGGGUAGCCGGCCUGAGAGGGUGACCGGCCACACUGGGACUGAGACACGGCCCAGACUCCUACGGGAGGCAGCAGUGGGGAAUAUUGGACAAUGGGCGAAAGCCUGAUCCAGCAACGCCGCGUGAGGGAUGACGGCCUUCGGUUGUAAACCUCUUUCAGCAGGGACGAAGCGCAAGUGACGGUACCUGCAGAAGAAGCACCGGCCAACUACGUGGCCAGCAGCCGC
rnacentral:rRNA from 1 species